rnacentral:rRNA from 1 species
AUUGAACGCUGGCGGCAGGCUUAAAACAUGCAAGUCGAGCGAGCGGCGGACGGGUGAGUAAUGUCUGGGAAACUGCAUGAUGGAGGGGGAUAACUACUGGAAACGGUAGCUAAUACAGCAUACCAUAAGUUGUGCACAGAUGGGAGUAGCUAGUAGGUGGGGUCAUGGCUCCCCUGGGCGACGCUCCCUAGCUGGUCUGAGAGGAUGACCCGCCACACUGGAACUGAGACACGGGCCAUACUCCUACGGGAGGCAGCAGUGGGGAAUAUUGCACAAUGGGCGAAAGCCUGAUGCAGCCAUGCCGCGUGUGUGAAGAAGGCCUUCGGGUGGUAAAGCACUUUCAUCGAGGAGGCGUUACUCGCAGAAGAAGCACCGGCUAACUCCGUGCCAGCAGCCGCGGUAAUUC